rfam:Camelus ferus unplaced genomic scaffold scaffold1652, whole genome shotgun sequence.
GGGGGUGUAGCUCAGUGGCAGAGCAUGUGCUUAACAUGCAUAAUGUCCUGGGUUCAAGCCCCAGUACCUCCA